AAUCUUCCGCAAUGGGCGAAAGCCUGACGGAGCAACGCCGCGUGGGUGAUGAAGGUUUUCGGAUCGUAAAGCCCUGUCAGGAGGGAAGAAAUUUUGACGGUACCUCCGAAGGAAGCCCCGGCUAACUACGUGCCAGCAGCCGCGGUAAUACGUAGGGGGCAAGCGUUGUCCGGAAUUACUGGGCGUAAAGAGCACGUAGGCGGUUUUUUAAGUCAGAUGUGAAAUAUCCCGGCUCAACCGGGAGGGUGCAUAUGAUACUGGGAGACUAGAGUGCAGGAGAGGAAAGUGGAAUUCCUAGUGUAGCGGUGAAAUGCGUAGAUAUUAGGAGGAACACCAGUGGCGAAGGCGGCUUUCUGGACUGUAACUGACGCUGAGGUGCGAAAGCCAGGGGAGCAAACGGG
rnacentral:rRNA from 1 species